AUCGAGGAGGUAGAGCCACACGCUUACCUUAGGGAAACACCUUGCACGUUAUAACUGGACAGGUAAAUGUUUGGUGAAAGAGGAUAAAGGAAAUAGAGCCGGUGGCGUGCGAGGAUAUUCAGGAAAACGUCCGGGGCACUGAACUCCCACCACCACUUAGGGAGGCUUUUCCUGUGGAGCCUCGCCCUCCGGUCGGAAGUCGCCUCAACCUGCCUGCCCGGAAGCCGUCGCCUUAGCAACACAGCGUUGUCCCGUCCUCUUCCCUUAGCCACGCCCAUUGUACUUAGAAUUCUAGAGCCAGCCAGACAUCGAUUGGUUCACUUAUCCUUCACUCCGCGAGACAGGCGAGACUGCAGGGCUCUGGAGCGCGUUUUUGAAUUUGUAGCGCGUAUAGAGUCCGUGAGGUACCUUGUGGAGUUCGUGCUGUGGCUGGAGCCAGCUACUCAGGGUGAACUCUGAAGUCCUGAGCUAUGGCAGAACUCAAGCCCCUCAAGUCACAUAGAAAUCUACCCAUCAAACACUGGAUUGCCAUGUGCCAGGUAAAAAGAUCAGAGCUACAAAAUAAUUGACUAAUUACUUCAAAAGUGACAACAUCCCUCUUCAAAAUGAAAGGACAAAAACAAACACAUACAAAAAAGGUAACUUCAUUAAUGAAGGGAUAAAUUACCGAUGGCUUCUUCAUUUUCUUUAGUUCAUUACCCCCC
rnacentral:lncRNA from 1 species